rnacentral:rRNA from 1 species
CACGUAGGGGGCGAGCGUUGUCCGGAUUUAUUGGGCGUAAAGAGCUCGUAGGCGGUUCGGCAAGUCGGGUGUGAAAACUCCAGGCUCAACCUGGAGACGCCACCCGAUACUGCUGUGACUUGAGUCCGGUAGGGGACCACGGAAUUCCUGGUGUAGCGGUGAAAUGCGCAGAUAUCAGGAGGAACACCGGUGGCGAAGGCGGUGGUCUGGGCCGGCACUGACGCUGAGGAGCGAAAGCGUGGGGAGCGAACAGG